rnacentral:rRNA from 1 species
UACGUAGGGAGCAAGCGUUGUUCGGAUUUACUGGGCGUAAAGGGCGCGUAGGCGGCCACCGCAAGUCAAUUGUGAAAUCUCCGGGCUUAACUCGGAAAGGUCAACUGAUACUGCGGGGCUAGAGUGCGGGAAGGGGCAACUGGAAUUCUCGGUGUAGCGGUGAAAUGCGCAGAUAUCAGGAGGAACACCGGUGGCGAAGGCGGAUCUCUGGGCCUGUCCUGACGCUGAGGCGCGAAAGCGUGGGUAGCAAACAGG